rnacentral:rRNA from 1 species
CACGUAGGGUGCGAGCGGUGUCCGGAAUUAUUGGGCGUAAAGAGCUCGUAGGCGGUGUGUCGCGUCGGCCGUGAAAACCUGCAGCUUAACUGUGGGCGUGCGGUCGAUACGGGCAUCACUGGAGUUCGGCAGGGGAGACUGGAAUUCCUGGUGUAGCGGUGAAAUGCGCAGAUAUCAGGAGGAACACCGGUGGCGAAGGCGGGUCUCUGGGCCGAUACUGACGCUGAGGAGCGAAAGCGUGGGGAGCAAACAGG